rnacentral:rRNA from 1 species
AUUGAACGCUGGCGGCAUGCCUUACACAUGCAAGUCGAACGGUAACGGGCUCUCGGGUGCCGACGUGUGGCGGACGGGCGAAUGAUACAUCGGUACGUGCCCGCUUGCGGGGGAUAACGAGGUGACUACUUUGAUAAUAACGCAUUAGGUCUUCGGACCAGAGCAGGGGACCGCAAGGCCUCGCGCGGACGGACUGGCCGAUGGCAGAUUAGGUAGUUGGUGGGGUAAAGGCUUACCAAGGCGACGAUCAGUAGCUGGUCUGAGAGGAUGAUCAGCUACACUGGGACUGAGACACGGCCCAGACUCCUACGGGAGGCAGCAGUGGGGAAUUUUGGACAAUGGGCGCAAGCCUGAUCCAGCCAUGCCGCGUGCGUGAAGAAGGCCUUCGGGUUGUAAACUGCUUUUGUACGGAACGAAAAGGCUUCGUUUAAUACAGGGGGUUCAUGACGGUACCGGAAGAAUAAGCACCGGCUAACUACGUG